rnacentral:rRNA from 1 species
UGCCAGCCGCCGCGGUAAUACGGAGGGUGCAAGCGUUAUCCGGAUUUACUGGGUUUAAAGGGUGCGCAGGCGGUAAUUUAAGUCAGUGGUGAAAGCCUACAGCUCAACUGUAGAACUGCCAUUGAAACUGAAAUACUUGAGUGUGGUAGAGGUAGGCGGAAUGAGUCAUGUAGCGGUGAAAUGCAUAGAUAUGACUCAGAACACCGAUUGCGAAGGCAGCUUACUAAACCAUUACUGACGCUCAUGCACGAAAGCGUGGGGAGCGAACAGGAUUAGAUA